ACAACUGGUUCUCAUACGAUCACCGAAGUUAAGCAAUGUCGAGCCUGGUCAGUAUCCUCAUGAGUAACAGCUUGGGAAUACCAGGUGCUGCAA